rnacentral:lncRNA from 1 species
AUGGCGAGGGGAAUCAGAGCUGAGGGAGGAAUCAGGAGGCCCGGGGCCAGGGGAAGCCUUGGCCUUGAUGUUGUGUCGAGAAAAAGCCUUAGCCCUCAUCAGGUUGAUUUGAGGACUCUUAGUCCAGGCGGGGAAGGCAGGGGUGUGGGGGCGGGGGGGAGGAGAGGCCGCAGACUCCUGGAAGAUUUGGGAAGACUGAGCCGGGAGCAGGCUAACAGAGUAGUCAAUGGAGUCGGCCCGGAGGACUUCAGGCGGCAAAUUGGCCUCAGACUUGACAAUGGUGGGGAUUCCAGGAAGAGGAUCAGUCACGACUAUGGUGGAGACCCGCAUGUGCUCCGAAGAGGAAGCAAAAAGAGCUCAGAGCCUGUUCACAACCAGGUUAAAUACCCCGUCUCGCUCUCGGCCCAGGCAAGUUAGAGGAACUCUAUGGACAGCAGAAUGUCAAGAGGCCUUUAACCACCUAAAAUCAUAUUUGGGAAGUUGUACAUAAUGCAGUAUUUGGAUGGCAUAUAUAGGCACUGGUUUCACUUCCCAGUUCUGCUAACUGUUCCAGUGAAGAAACACAGGGAUAAUGGUCUUUUAACAUAUCUGGUAAUUUACAAAACUUCUCCUGAAGACGUCGAGAACGCCUCACUGGUGUCAGAAACUUCAAGUCUUUAAACGAAGCACUAUUUUCAUCAAAAUUCAUCUUCUUUUUUACACUUUGCAAGUAUGGAGUAGUUGACACAUUAUAUUUAAUAACAUAAGACCCGCUGGUUUCCUUAUCAGGAGUCUCUAAAACACUUGUUGAAUCUUCCGCUUCAUCCUCUUGCUCUCUUUCAACCAUCUGUAGUUUUACAUUCUUUGUAUUAUGAUCUUUAUCUUUUGAUUCUGAAUUUUCUUCUGCUGAUGUCUCAUCUACAUCAACUUUAUCCUGAUUUAUAACUUCAUCACAUAAUUUUUUGAUCUCUUCGUUAGCUGAACAAACCUCAUCAACAUUCUCCCCAUCAUUACCCUUCACUUGACUCUUCAUCGUUAGGAUAUCUGCAAGUGCAUGUCGCAUUUCUUCCA